GAUGAACGCUGGCGGCGUGCCUAAUACAUGCAAGUCGAGCGAACGGACGAGAAGCUUGCUUCUCUGAUGUUAGCGGCGGACGGGUGAGUAACACGUGGAUAACCUACCUAUAAGACUGGGAUAACUUCGGGAAACCGGAGCUAAUACCGGAUAAUAUUUUGAACCGCAUGGUUCAAAAGUGAAAGACGGUCUUGCUGUCACUUAUAGAUGGAUCCGCGCUGCAUUAGCUAGUUGGUAAGGUAACGGCUUACCAAGGCAACGAUGCAUAGCCGACCUGAGAGGGUGCUCGGCCACACUGGAACUGAGCCACGGUCCAGACUCCUACGGGAGGCAGCAGUAGGGAAUCUUCCGCAAUGGGCGAAAGCCUGACGGAGCAACGCCACGUGAGUGAUGAAGGUCUUCGGAUCGUAAAACUCUGUUAUUAGGGAAGAACAUAUGUGUAAGUAACUGUGCACAUCUUGACGGUACCUAAUCAGAAAGCCACGGCUAACUACGUG
rnacentral:rRNA from 1 species